UACGUAGGAGGCAAGCGUUGUCCGGAAUUACUAGGCGUAAAGCGCGUGUAGGUGGUGGGACAAGUCUGCUGUGAAAGCGCCUGGCUUAACCGGGCGAGGUCGGCGGAAACUGUCCGACUCGAGGACGGUAGAGGGGGGUGGAAUUCCCGGUGUAGUGGUGAAAUGCGUAGAGAUCGGGAGGAACACCUGUGGCGAAGGCGGCCCCCUGGGCCGGCCCUGACACUGAGACGCGAAGGCGUGGGGAGCGAACGGG
rnacentral:rRNA from 1 species